rnacentral:rRNA from 1 species
UGUAAGCGUAUACCAAAGUUGUUGCAGUUAAAACGCUCGUAGUCGGAAUUUGGCAGUUCCGGAUGUGUGCACGUCGUGUGCGCACUUCGCGGGGAUUGCUUUUGUGGUCUUGCGUAGGAUGAGGCACUUUUAUUAGUGAACGUCCUCACGCAACCACUUUUUACUGUGAGAAAGUCAGAGUGCUCAAAGCAGGCAUUUGCCGUGAAUGUAUUAGCAUGGAAUAAUAGAAUAGGACUUGGUUCUAUUUUGUUGGUUUGUUGGGACUGAGUAAUGAUUAAGAGGGACAGUUGGGGGCAUUUGUAUUUCGGUGCUAGAGGUGAAAUUCUUAGAUUACCGAAAGACAAACUGCUGCGAAAGCGUCUGCCAAGGAUGUUUUCAUUGA